GAAUUCAACUGAAAAAGUCAUCAAUAACAAAGUGGUAUAACUUAUCAAAAUCUAUAACUUUUAUUUGGGUCAUUUCUUCAUCCGAUAAAAUGAUUUGUAACAUUGUUCACAAAAUGUACAUAUCUCUUAUAUAGUUUUAUAAACUAUAAGAGAGAUGUAAAUUUUAUGAAAAUAUUACUAUCGCUUUGUUGGAUGAAGAAAUGAUCAAAAUAGAAGUCAUAAAUCUUGAUGAGUUAUACAACUUUGUUGUUGAUGACUUUUUCAGUUGAAAUC
rnacentral:pre_miRNA from 2 species